CUGGAGGUAUCAGAAGUGCGAAUGCUGACAUAAGUAACGAUAAAGCGGGUGAAAAGCCCGCUCGCCGGAAGACCAAGGGUUCCUGUCCAACGUUAAUCGGGGCAGGGUGAGUCGACCCCUAAGGCGAGGCCGAAAGGCGUAGUCGAUGGGAAACAGGUUAAUAUUCCUGUACUUGGUGUUACUGCGAAGGGGGGACGGAGAAGGCUAUGUUGGCCGGGCGACGGUUGUCCCGGUUUAAGCGUGUAGGCUGGUUUUCCAGGCAAAUCCGGAAAAUCAAGGCUGAGGCGUGAUGACGAGGCACUACGGUGC
rnacentral:rRNA from 1 species